AGUGAGCGCUGGCGGUAGGCCUAACACAUGCAAGUCGAACGGCAGCACAGUAAGAGCUUGCUCUUACGGGUGGCGAGUGGCGGACGGGCGAGGAAUACAUCGGAAUCUACUUUUUCGUGGGGGAUAACGUAGGGAAACUUACGCUAAUACCGCAUACGACCUACGGGUGAAAGCAGGGGAUCUUCGGACCUUGCGCGAUUGAAUGAGCCGAUGUCGGAUUAGCUAGUUGGCGGGGUAAAGGCCCACCAAGGCGACGAUCCGUAGCUGGUCUGAGAGGAUGAUCAGCCACACUGGAACUGAGACACGGUCCAGACUCCUACGGGAGGCGGCAGUGGGGAAUAUUGGACAAUGGGCGCAAGCCCGAUCCAGCCAUACCGCGUGGGUGAAGAAGGCCUUCGGGUUGUAAAGCCCUUUUGUUGGGAAAGAAAAGCAGCAGGUUAAUACCCCGCUGUUCUGACGGUACCCAAAGAAUAAGCACCGGCUAACUUCGUG
rnacentral:rRNA from 1 species